rnacentral:ncRNA from 2 species
AUCUUAUCAAGAGUGGUUGAGGGACUGGCCCUGUGAAACCCAGCAGCCUACACAAAAGUGUAAGGUGCUAACCUGUGGCAAGAUAGUGUACUAUCUUGGACGAUAAGAG